rnacentral:rRNA from 1 species
GCGGCGGACGGGUGAGUAACACGUGGAUAACCUACCUAUAAGACUGGGAUAACUUCGGGAAACCGGAGCUAAUACCGGAUAAUAUUUUGAACCGCAUGGUUCAAAAGUGAAAGACGGUCUUGCUGUCACUUAUAGAUGGAUCCGCGCUGCAUUAGCUAGUUGGUAAGGUAACGGCUUACCAAGGCAACGGUGCAUAGCCGACCUGAGAGGGUGAUCGGCCACACUGGAACUGAGACACGGUCCAGACUCCUACGGGAGGCAGCAGUAGGGAAUCUUCCGCAAUGGGCGAAAGCCUGACGGAGCAACGCCGCCGUGAGUGAUGAAGGUCUUCGGAUCGUAAAACUCUGUUAUUAGUGAAGAACAUAUGUGUAAGUAACUGUGCACAUCUUGACGGUACCUAAUCAGAAAGCCACGGCUAACUACGUGCCAGCAGCCGCGGUAAUACGUAGGUGGCAAGCGUUAUCCGGAAUUAUUGGGCGUAAAGCGCGCGUAGGCGGUUUUUUAAGUCUGAUGUGAAAGCCCACGGCUCAACCGUGGAGGGUCAUUGGAAACUGGAAAACUUGAGUGCAGAAGAGGACCCUGGAAUUCCAUGUGUAGCGGUGAAAUGCGCAGAGAUAUGGAGGAACACCAGUGGCGAAGGCGACUUUCUGGUCUGUAACUGACGCUGAUGUGCGAAAGCGUGGGGAUCAAACAGGAUUAGAUACCCUGGUAGUCCACGCCGUAAACGAUGACCGCUAAGUGUUAGGGGGUUUCCGCCCCUUAGUGCUGCAGCUAACGCAUUAAGCACUCCGCCUGGGGAGUACGACCGCA